CUGGGAAUCAAUGUGUGAGGUGGUGCUAUGUAGCAGGAACCCCUCUUGCUUUGCAAAUAGUUUUUUGUUUGUUUUCCUUUUUGCCCAAUAGAGCCCUGCUCUACUGACCCUUCAAUGUGCCCGUGUGCCUAAAUAUUCCUGGUCGUGUGAAAAGAACCCAGGUAUUAGCUGAACUAAGGAGCACAAUUCUGCAACAUUUUGGCACCCAAACACGGGGCUUGAGAAAUGAAUGCAAUUGGAGAAACUGGUUGUUUUACCAGGCGUUGAUUGGAAAUGUGUGCUUCCCUUUAAGCAGUCAAGCUCAACUUGCAGAACUGAUGGGAACCCCUUGGGAAAACUGGCCUCAAAUGUUUGUCUACACAGUCCACAUACAGGGUUCUUAACCUGCGAUGAGGGAAACUUCCCAGGGCUUGUCUGGGUAUGCCCACAGUGGACUGGAGCCCAAAAUGCACACUGGAGGAAGUGGAUGGAGCCACGUGGAUGUCAUGCCUUAUGCAGGGGAGGAGCCUGCUCUCUUCAGCUCCUGUGGUAAUGUGGGAAUCGAUCUGUGAGCAUAUUUAACUAUCCGGCUAUUUUGGAGAUUGAAAAAAGAAGACCUGAUUUAUCAUGUGCAAUAUCUCACACAUCUGUCAUUUCUAUUCUACCGCAAUUCGAUGGAGUCUUGUUCUGUGGUCCAGGCUAGAGGGCAGUGGCAUGAUCUCGGCUCACUACAAGCUCUGCCUCCCGGGUUCACGCCAUUCUCCUGCCUCAGCCUCCUGAGUAGCUGGGACUACAGGCGCCCGCCACCACGCCUGGCUAAUUUUUUGUAUAUUUACUAGAGAUGGCUAGUGUUAGCCAAGAUGGUCUCGAUCUCCUGACCUCGUGAUCUGCCCACCUCAGCCUGCCAAAGUGCUGGGAUUACUGGCGUGAGCCACCGUGCCUGGCCAGCAUCCUCUAAUUAUUAUUCAUAGUUUGUGAAUUUAGGCCUACGUGAAUAAUAAUAUAAUAUUUACUAUGAUGUUACUAUCUACCAACCUUAUUUUUCUUUUCUAUAAAAUAGGAGCCAAAAUAAUAUUUAUGUCAUACCUUAUGAAGUUAAAAUAAAAUAUAACGAAUGAGGGGCUUAA
rnacentral:lncRNA from 10 species